GAGCAGUCUGAGUGAGACCUGC
rnacentral:piRNA from 1 species